rnacentral:rRNA from 1 species
GAUGAACGCUGGCGGCGUGCCUAAUACAUGCAAGUCGAGCGAACGGACGAGAAGCUUGCUUCUCUGAUGUUAGCGGCGGACGGGUGAGUAACACGUGGAUAACCUACCUAUAAGACUGGGAUAACUUGGGAAACCGUAGCUUAUACCGGAUAAUCUUUUGAACAGCAUGGUUCAAAAGUGAAACACGGUCUUUCUGUCACUUAUAGAUGGAUCCGCGCUGCAUUAGCUAGUUGGUAAGGUAACGGCUUACCAAGGCAACGAUGCAUAGCCGACCUGAGAGGGUGAUCGGCCACACUGGAACUGAGACACGGUCCAGACUCCUACGGGAGGCAGCAGUAGGGAAUCUUCCGCAAUGGGCGAAAGCCUGACGGAGCAACGCCGCGUGAGUGAUGAAGGUCUUCGGAUCGUAAAACUCUGUUAUUAGGGAAGAACAUAUGUGUAAGUAACUGUGCACAUCUUGACGGUACCGAAUCAGAAAGCCACGGCUAACUACGUG